GCGACAGAAGCAGAGAGGCGGCCAACAUUUCGCUGCAGCCAAUGGGAGGCGUGAAGAUGACGGACGGGCUCCGGGCUGCGCGCCUCCUCCCGCAACUACACCCUCACUCACUGGCCGCUCUUGGACCUCCAGCAUCAAAUACUGUCCCUCUUGUUUACGUGAACACUGUCAAGAUGAAGAGGUCAAGUCAACUGCAGCAAAAACUGCUCAUGCUCGCAUGACAGUAACACGCUGCCUAUGUGGUCACCACAGGACACAAACACCGGGAGCCGAGCCACCUAAAGACAGCCAACGCAGGUGGCCUAUUGCGGAGGUGUGACAACUUUGACGGCCACGCCUACGUUAGGCUGUAGGACGUUAAGAAUUGAUGGGCAUCAUGUUUCCACACCUGUGCUGAAAAUAGAAGACAGCAUACCUCGGGGAAAUGUUAAUGGCGGGCAACGCCAAAUUCAGCUGAGCCAUAGACUGCAUGAUGGUGACGUGAAGCGGAAUGCCAACCCGGAAGCUCUCCUUAAUGCCAGACGUAAUAGAUGAAGAGGAGCAACUGGUUUGGAUAGCAUCAUUCACCGCAAUAAAAAUGACAAGGAAAAUAGUUUGCGACUGCAAUCCCGUUACCAGAGAAGCUAAGAGUUUGCUGUGUUUGUUCUUCUCACACCACUCACAGGUCAGUGUCGUUAUUAUGCCAGACAUCUAGUUUGAUGUUUUAUUUGUUGGUCAAGCUCUUCAGGCAGUUUGUUUCAAAGUCGACAUUUCAAAUUAAAUGCGAUAGAGCAUCCUCUGUCAGAGAAUCUUGACUUUGGAACGACCUGCGCCUGGAGCUGAAAUGUGCAAAUUCUGCCACAUUUUUAAAUCGGUCCUUAAAAGUCACUUUUGUAGGAUAGCUUUUAGUUCUUGUGUUAUGUAAUUAUUUGUCGAUUUAAAUGUAUUAUUUUCCCGCCCAUGUAUUUUGACAAUCCCACAUUCAGCCUUCUUGGUUUCAAUUGGGUCUGGUGGGUUCUUGCAUUGCUUGGAUUUUGUCAUUUCUUUUCAGCCCUAGCUGGAGUGAAGGGCGUUUCCCUCCAGCAGGCUCACCUGUUACAUGUUUCCCAAUCAAGCCUGCCAUGUAUUUAAGGACUGCCAAGCUGCCAAGUUACUGUCGUAUUAAUGACCUUGCUCGCCAUAGUGCUUUUUGUUUGUGGUCAAGUGGCGCAAUGACCCGUCCAAUCAGACAGAUGGGGGCACUUUGUCUGUGUAAGUCGACUUCCACUUUCAAACUCUUGCGGCAUAGAAAUAAUACAUUCUCUUACACUGCAAAGAGCAUCGAAAAGAUUAAGGUUGCGGAGGUGGAGGCCUCUAGGAUGGGAAGUAACAUCAAAAUUUCAUAUCGUAUACCCUUUCUCACAAAGAUGACUGAAAAGGUUUACAAUCUUAAGGCCGGCUUAACCGUCACUAACAGCGAUUCCCCUGGAAGUUAACCUACUCAUGCUUUGUGGCUCAAAAGACCAGUUCACUGAAUGUGCAUAGUGUGACACAAAGAUGUGUGUGUCAUGGACUAGAAAAAAGAGCAGUAAGCCUCCAGUCAUUUCGUUUCUUGGAGGAAAUUUGCUAUUGCAUAUUCAGUGUGUGGAAAUUCCACCACUAGGGUCUCAAGAGGGAUUGGAAUUGUAUUCAUCACAGCUUGAGAGAAGUUGAGCAAAACAAACUUGGAAAGAAAAAAAAACAGACAUCUCACUGCAUUUAAAAAACAUUCCCAUAGCGAUUUAAUGAUCUGGCAGUGAUAUGUUUGUUUACUUACAUAUGCGCUCCCCUUCUGGCUAGCUUGGUAGAAAAAUGUGUUACAUUUUGCUAUUAAUUCUAAGUUUCUUAUCUGCUCCUUUGUACAACUAGUGUUAGACCUAAUACCCAAAUUAUGUUUCCAACAUUCUUUUUUGGAGGACUUGAUGAAGGAAAUCGGAAUCACAGCUGCCCUACAGCAGCUCUGUCGUUGGUCACCUUGCCACACGGCAGCACUACACACAGUAAAGCAAAAAACCUAAACCAAAAGCAGGUUCAUGUUCAAUUCAUCUUUGUGCACAUGCUCCUCUCAGUAGUUUGGACGACGCAAUUUUGGUUGUGCUUGGUUAGCCGAUUCACUUUAUCAAUUGUGUCCAUGAAGGGCCUAGAUGGCACGCAGUAGUGCAAGCGUGUCCUUAGACUUUUUGGCCUUGGUGGGGAUUUCUACUCUUUUGAGUGCCCUUCUAUUUUCAACAAUUCCUUUUUAUGCUUUGAUGCCUCGUGCAUGAGUGUUCUUUCAGUCACUCAGCUCGGUAGCGCACCACUAAGUGCAUCCUGCUUUUACAGCGAGGUCCCGCGUCGUCUUCUUGAUGUUCUGUAGCUUUAUUA